rnacentral:rRNA from 1 species
UAGGGAAUCUUCGGCAAUGGACGAAAGUCUGACCGAGCAACGCCGCGUGAGUGAAGAAGGUUUUCGGAUCGUAAAACUCUGUUGGUAGAGAAGAACGUUGGUGAGAGUGGAAAGCUCAUCAAGUGACGGUAACUACCCAGAAAGGGACGGCUAACUACGUGCCAGCAGCCACGGUAAUACGUAGGUCCCGAGCGUUGUCCGGAUUUAUUGGGCGUAAAGCGAGCGCAGGUGGUUUAUUAAGUCUGGUGUAAAAGGCAGUGGCU